rnacentral:rRNA from 1 species
GACGAACGCUGGCGGCGUGCUUAACACAUGCAAGUCGAACGGAAAGGCCUGCUUUCCCUUGUGGAUUGCGGGUACUCGAGUGGCGAACGGGUGAGUAACACGUGAGUGAUCUGCCCCCAACUUGGGUAUAAGCCUGGGAAACUGGGUCUAAUUCCCGAUAGGACUGCAGGGUGGUGCCUGUGGUGGAAAACGAUUUUCUAGUGGUUGGGGAUGAGCUCGCGGCCUAUCAGCUUGUUGGUGGGGUAAUGGCCUACCAAGGCGGCGACGGGUAGCCGGCCUGAGAGGGUGGACGGCCACAUUGGGACUGGGAUACGGCCCAGACUCCUACGGGAGGCAGGAGUGGGGAAUAUUGCACAAUGGGCGGAAGCCUGAUGCAGCGACGCCGCGUGGGGGAUGACGGCCUUCGGGUUGUAAACUCCUUUCGACCGCGAGGAAGCCACCUGGUUGGAAGGGUGGUGACGGUAGUGGUAGAAGAAGCACCGGCUAACUACGUG